GUGGUCUCUGUGACUCAAUAGAGGGGGUUGUUGUCAGUCUUUUAUUUAAAGGUCUGCUGACCUAACCACAUAAAGGAAAAUAAUCUUCAGCCUAUUUUUGUGCUAUGAUUAAGUCUGCACAAGCUCCAAAAGCAGACACGACUGACAGUAGUGAAGAGGGUCCUGGGAUAUUUAGUUGCGAUACGCUUCUUCUGUGAAGGUCAUCACUUCUUUCAAUCAGAGUGAAUGAUUGACUCAACGAGAAGUUCAUAUUGCACGACAUACUUUCAGAAAUGAUUCAUGUUAAUGGUAUAUCUCGGGGGAUUGAUGUUGAGCAGAAGCUACAUCUAAAGCUUAAAAAAUGAUUUAGCAAUGUGGAAGCCUACAAACCAGAGCUCACGUAGACACAUUUGAUGGUAAACAUCACAGAAUAAAUACAACUAAAAGUCAUAAAAUUGGAUAGACAAUAAAUCUGACAGUUUAAGACCUUUUGGGGCUCAAAUCAUAAAAAAUAAAAUUACUUACGCAGCCAUUCCUUGAUUCAGCUGUGCAUCUUUUUCUCAGAUGUGAACAGAAGACAUUUUCACACUUUCUGACAGGUUGGAGCCACUCAAGGAAGUAGCUAUGCCAAAAAAAAAAAAAAAAAAAAAAAACACAACGAAGUACAAUAUUGAGGAAACAUUCCUUCCCUCCCCCAGUGCUGUCAUCUGUCCCCACCUUGUUUUACGUGAAACGUAUGCUCAGCAGAACACCACUUAAAACCUUUUUUGGGAUUUGAAAAUACAGUAAUGCCAGCCAUGGAAGGGAAGGCUUCUGCCUCUUGCAGGCCAAAAAAACAAACAAAAAAAAACCACUGUUUUUACUCACUUAAAAACAUUUAUUGGUUAAUGUUGAGCACCUCAAGACCUCAUUAGAGUGUAGAGUGGCCACACUCCGCACUGGAGAAUUUAGAGCUUCUCUGUCAAUGUUUCUCUCUGAUCUGGCUAUCAGUUUUGAGGAGAUGCUGAGCCUGGCAGACGGCUGCCCACUCUACAUUAGGGUGAGGCCACCUCCCACCCGUGGAUUUUCCCUUAGCCCCACUACCACAGACAGACAUCACAGACAUGUGGGAGAUGCCCUGUCUCUCCACCUUCCCCUCAGGAGCAGGCCUUGUGUCCCACAGCCCCGCCAUCCCUCUCAGCCUCCUGCCUCAAUCUCCCCCACCAGCGUGGGCCGGUGCAGGUGCCAAGAUGUCUCCCUUGGGCCUGGAGAAGAGGGAAAACAGCAUGGUUGCGGGCUCCUGCACCCAGCCCAAACCCACCUGCCUCCUGGGGAAGCCCGUGGGACAUAA
rnacentral:lncRNA from 1 species